AUGUUUCCCUUAGCUUGGAGGAAGAACCUGACUGUUUGUGAAGCUCUGACCGAGGGAAGAUGGAUGCGUGGAAUUCAACGGAUGGUUACUGAGACCCAAAUCCACCAAUUCAUCAGGUUGUGGGAGAAGGUGCAAGUGAUCCAUUUGACUACUGAAAGGGACAAAAUCUCGUGGAAGCUCUCCAGCAAUGGUUGUUACUCGGCCAAGUCAGCUUAUGAUGCUCAGUUCAUCGGCCGGAUUGAACAGCCCCACCUUGGCAUGGUUUGGAGGACUAAGGCUAAGCAGAAAGUAAACUUCUAUACCUGGCUGCUUCUAUAG
rnacentral:rRNA from 1 species